AACGUCACAUUAAAACUGUACUUCGAUGGCACCUGUAGUGUUUUUGGUCCAUGCGCUGUCAAUGCCAAAUGUUGUUCGGGCGAGAAAAUCUUUACACGGUUAGAGUGUUCAAGACAAUAAGAUUAGACUUUUGACUCCGAUUCAAAACUGCUACAAACUUACAAUGCUGAUGUGAUGUGAACAUGAGUACAUACAGCCAUUCAACAAGUCCGAAAUAAGAUUCAAAUUGCUGUCGAGGAACUGAAAAUCCAUGCCAGAGAUCACUAGAUCGUCGUGGCCACCUUUCUUCGAAGAAGUCAGCAGUGCUGCCAUUACUUUGCUAUUGAGUACAAAUCCAGUUUAUUCUCAUCUCACAUUUUCAGCAACUUUCCACACAAAAACGAUUUACAAAGGUAAUUGGGAAGAACAAGUUAAUUUCUUCGCUAUUGAAAAUUAUGCCACAACACUUUUGGCUUAAAAAUUCUACAAUGUAAGUGUAAAUAAAAAUUGUGCAGUAAAAUUCACUGCUUGGAUGAUUUAAAGCAUUUAUUCACAAUUCACUACAUUAAAUCCCACUGGACCCACCUACAGAAUGAUUUAGAUCUUGACUGUCUUUAUGCUUUAAUUUGAUGUUACAUCUUUUUAAUCAUUUCAAACAUUACCUUUUGUGUUCUUCCUCAGUCAUAUUGCUCAAAAGUAAAUCCUUGACUACAUAUGUGUUGUCCAGCCAUUCUAUCAAACCAAGUCUUAAAGAGGAAAAAAAAAAUUACCAUUUAGGAAAAGCAAACAAAAUGUAUAUUGUUUUGCAAUACUUCCUGCUAUAUAACAUCAACAUUAUCACUACAAUGAGGAAAGCAUUCACUGUUUAUCAUCAGUAAUGAAAUCAUAAAUGUGGUCUUUAAACUUAUAUUUAUGAUUGAUCAUAAUAUUAAAUAAAGGAAACUUCUCCCUACAAGAAAAAAAUGAUUAUGCAAGCAAUGGGAUAUUUAGCUCCUAUGCAAAAUGCUGCAUGUUUAAGUCCUAAUGCUGCUGGUUGCAACUGAAAUCUGCUGAAUGAGUAGUUUUACUGCUAUUCUAUGGAUCACUACGUCAAACCGGGACAUGGCAAAUAUGAUCUACCUCUCAUUGAACACGAACUUCAGUAUGUUAAAGACUGCUCUAGUUGCCUUAACUAAAGAGAAUUGGUGAUGAAAGACUUUUGUAAAGGG